UAGGGAAUCUUCCACAAUGGACGCAAGUCUGAUGGAGCAACGCCGCGUGAGUGAAGAAGGUUUUCGGACCGUAAAGCUCUGUUGUUGGUGAAGAAGGAUAGAGGUAGUAACUGGCCUUUAUUUGACGGUAAUCAACCAGAAAGUCACGGCUAACUACGUGCCAGCGGCCGCGGUAAUACGUAGGUGGCAAGCGUUGUCCGGAUUUAUUGGGCGUAAAGCGAGCGCAGGCGGAAGAAUAAGUCUGAUGUGAAAGCCCUCGGCUUAACCGAGGAAUUGCAUCGGAAACUGUUUUCUUGAGUGCAGAAGAGGAGAGUAGAACUCCAUGUGUAGCGGUGGAAUGCGUAGAUAUAUGGAAGAAUACCAGUGGCGAAGGCGGCUCUCUGGUCUGCAACUGACGCUGAGGCUCGAAAGCAUGGGUAGCGAACAGGAUUAGAUACCCUGGUAGUCCAUGCCGUAAACGAUGAGUGCUAAGUGUUGGGAGGCUUCCGCCUCUCAGUGCUGCAGCUAACGCAUUAAGCACUCCGCCUGGGGGAGUACGACCGCAAGGUUGAAAC
rnacentral:rRNA from 1 species